rnacentral:rRNA from 1 species
UAAGCUAGAGUAUNUCAGAGGGGGGUAGAAUUCCACGUGUAGCAGUGAAAUGCGUAGAGAUGUGGAGGAAUACCGAUGGCGAAGGCAGCCCCCUGGGAUAAUACUGACGUUCAUGCUCGAAAGCGUGGGUAGCAAACAGGAUUAGAUACCCUGGUAGUCCACGCCCUAAACGAUGUCAAUUAGCUGUUGGGGCACUUGAUGCCUUAGUAGCGAAGCUAACGCGUGAAAUUGACCGCCUGGGGAGUACGGUCGCAAGAUUAAAACUCAAAGGAAUUGACGGGGACCCGCACAAGCGGUGGAUGAUGUGGAUUAAUUCGAUGCAACGCGAAGAACCUUACCUGGUCUUGACAUGUACGGAAUCUUCCAGAGACGGAAGAGUGCCUUCGGGAGCCGUAACACAGGUGCUGCAUGGCUGUCGUCAGCUCGUGUCGUGAGAUGUUGGGUUAAGUCCCGCAACGAGCGCAACCCUUGUCAUUAGUUGCCACCAUUCAGUUGGGCACUCUAAUGAGACUGCCGGUGACAAACCGGAGGAAGGUGGGGAUGACGUCAAGUCCUCAUGGCCCUUAUGACCAGGGCUUCACACGUCAUACAAUGGUCGGUACAGAGGGUAGCCAAGCCGCGAGGUGGAGCCAAUCUCAGAAAACCGAUCGUAGUCCGGAUUGCACUCUGCAACUCGAGUGCAUGAAGUCGGAAUCGCUAGUAAUCGCAGGUCAGCAUACUGCGGUGAAUACGUUCCCGGGUCUUGUACACACCGCCCGUCACACCAUGGGAGUGGGGGAUACCAGAAGUAGGUAGGCUAACCGCAA